UUCCGUUACUCUGGAGAGCAGCCGCCGAACAGGCGGCCACCGAAGGGGCGCGCAGCCGAUUGGUAUCAGGCUGUAAUCUCUCAGGUAUCAAGGACAGAGGGGUAACG
rnacentral:ncRNA from 2 species